rnacentral:rRNA from 1 species
UACGGGGGGAGCAAGCGUUGUUCGGAUUUACUGGGCGUAAAGGGCGCGUAGGCGGCGCAACAAGUCACUUGUGAAAUCUCCGGGCUUAACCCGGAGCGGUCAAGUGAUACUGUCGUGCUAGAGUGCGGAAGGGGCUACUGGAAUUCUCGGUGUAGCGGUGAAAUGCGUAGAUAUCAGGAGGAACACCUAUAGCGAAGGCAGCUUUGCUGGGACGUAAACUGACGCUGAGAACGCGAAAGCGUGGGAGCAAACAGG